CUGCUCACUGAGUUUUAAAGAGCUGCAAUAUUUUGAUUGUGCUAAGGUAGCAAAAUAAUUUGUUUAUUAAUUGUAAACUUGUAUGAAGGAUUUAACGUAUUUAUAUCUUUUUUAAUUUUAUUUUUAGAAUUUAUUUUUAAAGUGCAAAAACUUUAAUGAUUUUGAUAGAAGAUAAGACCCUAAGAAUUUAUUUUAUAGUAUUGUUCAAUUUUUGGAUUGUAUUUUAAAUUAGUUGGGGUGACUGUUAAGUAUAUUAAUCUUAAUUUUAUUUUUACUAUAUUAGGUUUAUUUGACUGUUUAUGUUUAAAAGUUUAAUUACCUUAGGGAUAACAGCGUUAUAUUUAUUUAUAGUUCAUAUGGUAAUAGGUGUUUGCGACCUCGAUGUUGGAUUAAGUUUAAUUUUUGGAGCAUAAACUAAAAAUAAGAGUCUGUUCGACUUUUAAAACUUACGUGAUCUGA
rnacentral:rRNA from 1 species